rnacentral:lncRNA from 1 species
UUUUUUUUUUUUUUCAAAACGGGAGAAAACCUAAUAGGGCCACUGUGAAGCUUAAAAGGGGUCAAUAUACAGAAAGCACUUGGAUCUGUGCUUGGCAUUCAAGAAAUGUUAGAUAUUAUCAUUAAUUGUUUUAUUUCUACUAAAGAGAAGCUGAUGGCUUUCUACCAGAUUUCUCCACUAGGUAGGAAUAAUCUCUCUUGGCAAGCCUAAAUGUCAGCAAAACUACUCAUGAAAGCACUGGAGUCAACAAGGAGAAUAAGCAUCAACGUCCUGGACAGGCUGUGUACCACACAAACCUGAAAGCCCCCAAAUUGUUUCUUUUAGUGUACCACAAAUAUUAGAGUCAAAAGUUUUAAAAUUUUGCUAAGCCAGUUCCUGCUACAUUCAAAAUAUGGUAAUACAAGAUGGUUUGGUGAGCUAUCAAGUCAUGGGUUGUAUAAAUACUAGUUUACAACAAAAAUGAAUACAAAAGUGGUAUGGCUCUUGCUGGUUUUAUUAAAUUAUAUUUGAGGCCUUUUAUUUUUCUAGCUGCAAAUAACAGAGAGAAGAGUCCACUUGAGAACAAGAAUCAAAUUUAAAUUAUACAUUUCAGCAUAACUUGGAAACCCUAGUUUAGCCUCUUUCUAUACAUAUGACCAAACAUAGUAUAGUUUAUAAUUUAAUAUCCAAACAUCACUAGCAAGCAAGGUUCCAAUCCCAGCUUUACCACUAUUAGCUGUAUGGCCCAAAAUAUUUCAUCUCUGUAUAAAAGAAAGGGAUAUUGAUACUAAUCUCAUAGAACCAAAAGAAAAGAUUAAAUGAGAAAAAUGUUAACAAUAAACACUAGUUAUAACUAUUAAUAAAUAACACAAGAAAAUGUCAUUUACUCAAGCUCUGAGACACACACACAUGAUUACAAUUAAAAAGAGAAUCUGAGCCAAGAAGUAAGAAAAUAAUUUUAAAUUCUUUCUAUACAGUGGAAAACAUAUUUUGACACUUGGGAGAAUAUGAAGAUAAAUAAAAUGCUAUAUUGCCAAAAUAAAGAAGUCUGAGAAAGAGUCAUAGACAUUAGUAAAUAACAUAAAGAAAUCUAGAAGGAAGUAACUUUUCUCAUUCAGUACCAAAGGCAAAGGCUUUAGCCAUGAGGAUGUAUGACAGAAUAACUCACCGAACCAGAAUAGGCUCUGAGAUACCAUAAUUUAAAGUGAUUAUAAUAUCAUAAAUUAGGUAAACUAAUACUUGGAAUAACCAAGUCAAAAGAGAAUAUCAUAAAUUUAUUCUAGAGUUUUACUAUUAACAUACUUUAUGAUCUUUAUGUAUAUCACAAUAAAAAAUGUAAAAAUAAUGCCAUAUAAAGGAUGUGAAUAAUCUACACAUCAAGAAACACAUAUUUAUUCUUUCAUUCAAUAGGUAUCUACUAUGUUGUUAAUAUUCAGUAAUACUGGUAAUCAAAAAAGUAGAGAAAAACAAAAGAAUACCACACUUAGUCUAUUAAAGUAGCAAUUAUAAAAUAAUUCCCAAAGCUGACAAGAAUACAGUUAAAGAAACACUCAUAUACAGCUUUGUGUAAGUGUAAAUGGCACACGUUUUCUGGAGGGUAAGGAAAGUACACCAAAAGCUUUGAAAGUAUUUAUGUCCUCUUUCCCAUUUUCCUCACCACAGAUGUACACAAUGACAAAUACUAACAGGUCUUCAUACACAUAGUAAAACACUACUGAUGAUCUCAAUUUCUUUUUUUUUUUAUCUCAAUUUCUAACAAUAAGCAAUUACUUAAAUAAUUUGUAAUAGAGACGCCUGAGUGGCUCACGUGGUUGAGAGCUUGCCUUCAGCUUGGGUCAUGAUCCCAAGGUCCUAGAAUCGAGUCCCACACUGGGUUCCUGCAUAGGCAGAAGCCUGCUUCUCCAUCUCCUUCCCACUUCUGUUCUCUCUCAUUCUCUCUCUCUCUUUCUCUCUCAAAUAAACAAAUCAGAUCUGUAAAUAAAUUGUAAUAUCACCAUAUGAAAUAACACAGACCACUCAUCUCAUUUCUGAACAUGGUUUAAUGGCAUGAAAAAAUGGUUGUAUUAGAUCACUAAACUUAAGACUAUAGGGAUCCCUGGGUGGCGCAGCGGUUUGGCGCCUGCCUUUGGCCCAGGGCGCGAUACUGGAGACCCGGGAUCGAAUCCCACGUCGGGCUCCCGGUGCAUGGAGCCUGCUUCUCCCUCUGCCUAUGUCUCUGCCUCUCUCUCUCUCUGUGACUAUCAUAAAUUAAAAAAAAAAAAAAAAAAAAGACUAUAAAACACUAUGCACAACAUGACUACAAUUUUCUGAAAAAUAAAAACGGAAAAGCUAAACACAAGUUUAACAAUAGCUAUCUCUAUGUGAUGAUAGUUUUUAAAUUUUUUAUGUUAUGCUUUUCAUUAUUUUCCAAAUUUCCUAUGAUAAUCAUGGAUUAUUUUUAUAACCAAUGCAGUGGUCUUUGUGGUUUAUACCCAAAACACCUAUUCCACCUAAAUCAGUCAGAGGAAUCACACUUCCUCUGUCAAUGACUGUAUCCUGGCCACGGAGGAAAUACAAGGAGACACCUAGAACAGGAGCUUCCAGGAAAGGCUCCCUUCUCCCUUGCUCCUGAGAAGGAAAGUAAAAGAGGUGUUGCUUUCUUCUAAAUAUGGCUACAUCGGGAUCCCUGGGUGGCACAGCGGUUUGGCGCCUGCCUUUGGCCCAGGGCGCGAUCCCGGAGACCCGGGAUCGAAUCCCACGUCGGGCUCCCGGUGCAUGGAGCCUGCUUCUCCCUCUGCCUGUGUCUCUGCCUCUCUCUCUCUCUCUGUGACUAUCAUAAAUAAAUAAAAAUAAAAAAAAAAAACUCUCAGUGUUGUAAUAUUAUAAAUAAAUAAAUAAAUAAAUAAGGCUACAUCUAGAUAUAAUUCACUUAACUAUCAUUCAAUACACAUUUACCUGAAUGCCUACUAUGCAGUUCCUGAGCCAUCUCUCAAUAUGGAGAUAAUGGUUGCUAUUAUUUCCAGGAGUCUUAAUAUAGUAACUUCAGUAGCUACAUAAAAAAAUCGUAAUUAUCAUUGAU